rnacentral:rRNA from 1 species
UGGACAAUACAAAGGGCAGCGAAACCGCGAGGUCAAGCAAAUCCCAUAAAGUUGUUCUCAGUUCGGAUUGUAGUCUGCAACUCGACUACAUGAAGCUGGAAUCGCUAGUAAUCGUAGAUCAGCAUGCUACGGUGAAUACGUUCCCGGGUCUUGUACACACCGCCCGUCACACCACGAGAGUUUGUAACACCCGAAGCCGGUGGAGUAACCUUUUAGGAGCUAGCCGUCGAAGGUGGGACAAAUGAUUGGGGUGAAGUCGUAACAAGGUAGCCGUAUCGGAAGGUGCGGCUGGAUCACCUCCUUU